GCAUAAUCAAUAGUUUCUUAAUUGGAGACUGGAAUGAAGGGUAGAUACUAAAUGGAGUGUUUUAUUUUAUAAAUUUGAAGUUAAAAUAAAAUUGAAAAUGAUUUUAUUAAACCUUGGGACGAGAAGACCCUAGAAGCUUAUAAAUUUAGAAAUUUUUUAUUGGGGCAAUAAGUUGAAGAAAUGAAUUUUUAGCAGCAGAAAUUAGAGGGAAGAAGUUACUCUAGGGAUAACAGCAUAAUCUAUUCAGCAAGUUCUUAUUAAUGAAUGGGAUUGUGACCUCGAUGUUGAAUUAAAU
rnacentral:rRNA from 1 species